GACGAACGCUGGCGGCGUGCUUAACACAUGCAAGUCGAGCGGAAAGACCCUGCUUUUGUUGGGUGCUCGAGUGGCGCACGGGUGAGUAACACGCGAGUAACCUGCCCUUGACUUUGGGAUAACUUCAGGAAACUGGGGCUCAUACCGGGUAGGAUAUCCUGCUGCAUAGGGUGCGUUGGAAAGUUUCGGCGGUACGGGCUCGACUCGCGGCUUAUCCGCUUCUUGGUGGGGUAGGGGCUUACCAAGGCUUUGAAGGGUAGCCCGCAUGGGAGGGUUACCGGACACAUGGGGACUGAGAGACGCAGCAGACGCGAAUGUGAGGCAGCAGGGGAGAACAUUGCACAAUGGGCGGAAGCCUGAUGCAGAGACGCCGCGUGCGGGAAGACGGCCUUCGGGUGGUAAACAGCUGUGGCCGGAGACGAAGCGGUAGUGACGGUAAUGGGUCAAGAAGCCACGGCUAACUACGUG
rnacentral:rRNA from 1 species